CCUACGGGGAGCAGCAGUGAGGAAUAUUGGUCAAUGGACGAGAGUCUGAACCAGCCAAGUAGCGUGAAGGAUGACUGCCCUAUGGGUUGUAAACUUCUUUUAUAAAGGAAUAAAACGAGGCACGUGUGCCUUUUUUCAUGUACUUUAUGAAUAAGGAUCGGCCAACUCUGUGCCAGCAGCCGCGGUAAUACGGAGGAUCCGAGCGUUAUCCGGAUUAUUGGGGUUAAAGGGCGCCUAGAUGGGUUGAUAAGUAAGUUGUUAAAGUUUGCGGCUCAACCGUAAAAUUGCAAUUGAUACUGGCAGUCUUGAGUAUAGUAGAGGUAGGUGGAAUUCGUGGUGUAGCGGUGAAAUGCUUAGAUAUCACGAAGAACCCCGAUUGCGAAGGCAGCUUACUAAACUGUGACUGACAUUGAUGCUCGAAAGUGUGGGUAUCAAACAGGAUUAGAUACCCGAGUAGUC
rnacentral:rRNA from 1 species